rnacentral:rRNA from 1 species
AUGGCCUCCCCGCAAUCCUCCUACGGCUCAUCCGAGGAAGACGCCUCCUCCGAUGGUUCUGACCACCAAGUUGUGGAGAAGCAGCCUCUAAGAGAAGAAUCGGAGGAGGAGACUGGGGGCAAUGAAGAAUCGGAGGAGGAGGAGGAGGAGGAGGAGGGGGCGGGGGACAAUGUGGUGCCGGACGAUAAUAACAUCCACCAGUCGCCACUGCAAGGCGACACGGUCCCAGAUUCCGAGUCGCCGCCCAGGUCCCAACCCAAGAGGAAGGCCGUGGAUGCAGAACCUGUCGAGCCCAAGAGGAUGAGGUCGGCCGAGGCGCCGCAGCCUAGGAUGCAACCUGAGGCCACUGAAGUUGCUCUGAUUCAACCUGAGAUCGCUGAACAUGCUCUGACUAAGAGCGAUGCGGAGAAGCUAUUCCAAGUUAAGAUCGAUUUUUAUUGGCACCUUGGGCAAGAGGUGUUGGCCCUAGAGGAGAAACAUCCUGGGUUGUUCAAGUCUCCGUUCCUGAAGCUUCCUGACGAGAAGGCCAGGAUACUCAAUGCCAAACUUCAGAAGCAACACAUUGCAAAAUUAAAGGCUUUGUUACGGCUGGCUGAUAUCAGAAAGGAGGUGACGAACUCCCUCAUCAAUUGUCUCGACUGA